UGUCCCGUAGCUCAAAUGGAUAGAGCGCUGCACUGUCACUGCAGAGGAUUUUUUUGCCAGUUCAAACCUGGUCGGGACAG
rnacentral:tRNA from 1 species